UAUCGACCUACUCUGUGUGAGCGGCCGAUGGAUGAGUAACGCCUGCAACCAUGCCCUUGAAUUCGGAGUAACCCAGGGUAACUUGGCCUAGUACCGGAUACGUGCGAGAGCGAAAAGAUUUAUCGCUGAAUGAUCGGCCCGCGUCUGAUUAUCUGGUUGGUGGGGUAAUGGCCCACCCAGGCGACGAUCAGUAGCUGGUCUGAGAGGAUGAUCAGCCACACUGGAACUGAAACACGGCCCAGACUCCUACGGGAGGCACCGGUGGGGAAUAUUGGACAAUGGGCGCACGCCUGAUCCCGCCAUGCCGCGUGAGUGAUGACGGCCUUAUGGGUGUAAAGCUCUUUCCGCGGGGACUAUAAUGACGGUACCCGCAAAACAAUCCCCGGCUAACUUCAUGCCUGCAACCGCGGUAGUACGAAGGGGGCUAGCGUUGUUCGGAAUCGCUGGGCGUAAAGGGCGCGUAGGCGGCUUUGUAAGUCGGGGGUGAAAGCCUGUGGCUCAACCUCAGAAUUGCCUUCGAUACUGCAUGGCUUGCUACCGGAAGAUGUUAAUGGAACUGCCACUGUAGAGGAGAAAUUCUUAGAUAUUCGCAACAACACCACUGACGAAGGCGGCUGACUGCCCCGGUUCUGACGCUGAGGCGCGAAAUCGUGGAGACAAACAGGAUUAAAUACCAUGGUAUUUCCACGUCGUAAACGAUGAAUGCCAACCGCUGGCGAGCUUGCUCGUAAGUGACACAGCUAACGCUUUAGCCAUUCCGGCUGGGGGAGUACGGUCGCAGGAUUAACACUCCAUGAUUUGACGGCGGGCCGCUCAAGCGGUGCAGCAUGUGAGUUAAUUCGAAGCAACGCGCAGAACCUUAACAGCCUUUGACCCGCCC
rnacentral:rRNA from 1 species